AGUGAACGCUGGCGGUGGGCCUAACACAUGCGAGUCGAACGGCAGCACAGUAAGAGCUUGCUCUUACGGGUGGCGAGUGGCGGACGGGUGAGGAAUACAUCGGAAUCUACUUUUUCGUGGGGGAUAACGUAGGGAAACUUACGCUAAUACCGCAUACGACCUACGGGUGAAAGCAGGGGAUCUUCGGACCUUGCGCGAUUGAAUGAGCCGAUGUCGGAUUAGCUAGUUGGCGGGGUAAAGGCCCACCAAGGCGACGAUCCGUAGCUGGUCUGAGAGGAUGAUCAGCCACACUGGAACUGAGACACGGUCCAGACUCCUACGGGAGGCAGCAGUGGGGAAUAUUGGACAAUGGGCGCAAGCCUGAUCCAGCCAUACCGCGUGGGUGAAGAAGGCCUUCGGGUUGUAAAGCCCUUUUGUUGGGAAAGAAAAGCAGCAGGUUAAUACCCCGCUGUUCUGACGGUACCCAAAGAAUAAGCACCGGCUAACUUCGUG
rnacentral:rRNA from 1 species